UACGGAGGGUGCGAGCGUUGUCCGGAAUCAUUGGGCGUAAAGGGCGCGUAGGUGGCCCAGUCAGCGUGCGGUGAAAGCUCGGGGCUCAACCCCGAGUCGGCCGUGCGAACUACUGGGCUGGAGCACUGUAGAGGCAGGCGGAAUUCCGGGUGCAGCGGUGGAAUGCGUAGAGAUCCGGAAGAACACCGGUGGCGAAGGCGGCCUGCUGGGCAGUUGCUGACACUGAGGCGCGACAGCGUGGGGAGCAAACAGG
rnacentral:rRNA from 1 species